rnacentral:ncRNA from 2 species
UAGAAAGACGGUGAUGGAGCUCACCUUUAAGUAUUGCAUCCGUGCAAUUAAUGGCUCCUACUUGGCU